rnacentral:lncRNA from 1 species
UAAAAACACAGGAUUGUACCCGUCUGUUUGACCCACACGAUCCCCCAACACUAAUGUUUUCCUCUAUCAGAUUAAAGUAAACCACAAGGGUAAAAUCAUACACCAAUCCCUUCAAAUCUCUUAGUAUUUCAGUUUCACACAUAAGUUUUUAUUCAGAAAUCGAAUCCAAUCAGAGAUUGGAAGCUCACAAAGAAAAAGAAGGGUUUUGGAAGAAUCUCGAAGUCUCAGGCUACUGCUCAAGAAAGAAAAAUGACGUUCCAACUGAUUAGGGCAAGAGACGGAUAUAUUUAUACCCACAAAGAGCAACCAUUGAUCAAGGUUUCAUACAACGGUCAGGGGCUCCCAAGAAAACUGGAGAAGGCGUGUUUUUGGCUACGUUAAAAACGCCUCGCCACAGAAACACAUUUUAAACCUUUUUGGGCCAAGGUGGGUCGGGUCAAGUUAUUGGCCAAGAGUCUAGUAAUUAAAAACCAGUAAUUGGGCUUUAGCCCAUUUUGUCAUCACAGCCCAGAAAAGGCCAUUGAGCAUCACAGCCCAACAACCUCCACCUUGAUGCCAAUGGGAUUUCAGACACUUGCAGCUCUCCAAUUGACACCAAGUUGUACCUGUAUUGGAGAAAUUAACAUGUAUCAAUAUUUAAAAGUGC